AAAGUCGUAACAAGGUCUCCGUAGGUGAACCUGCGGAGGGAUCAUUACAGAGUUUUUGCCCGCAAGGGUAGAUCUCCCACCCUGUGUUAUACCACCUCUGUUGCUUUGGCGGGCCGUCCUGGCCUCGGUCAGGCUACCGGCUCCGGCUGGUGAGCGCCCGCCAGAGGACCCUAAACCCUGAAUGUUUGUGUCGUCUGAGUACUAUAUAAUAGUUAAAACUUUCAACAACGGAUCUCUUGGUUCUG
rnacentral:misc_RNA from 1 species